rnacentral:rRNA from 1 species
AGAGUUUGAUCCUGGCUCAGAUUGAACGCUGGCGGCAUGCUUUACACAUGCAAGUCGAACGGCAGCACGGGCUUCGGCCUGGUGGCGAGUGGCGAACGGGUGAGUAAUGCGUCGGAACGCGCCGAGUAGUGGGGGAUAACGCAGCGAAAGCUGUGCUAAUACCGCAUACGUACUGAGGUAGAAAGUGGGGGACCUUCGGGCCUCACGCUACUCGAGCGGCCGACGUCUGAUUAGCUAGUUGGUGGGGUAAAGGCUCACCAAGGCGACGAUCAGUAGCGGGUCUGAGAGGAUGAUCCGCCACACUGGGACUGAGACACGGCCCAGACUCCUACGGGAGGCAGCAGUGGGGAAUUUUGGACAAUGGGCGCAAGCCUGAUCCAGCCAUGCCGCGUGUCUGAAGAAGGCCUUCGGGUUGUAAAGGACUUUUGUCCGGGAGCAAAGCCUACUUGUU